CCUACGUGAGGCAGCAGUGGGGCAUAUUGGGCAAUGGAGGCAACUCUUACCCAGCAAUGCCGCGUGAAUGAAGACGGUCUUCGGAUUGUAAAGUUCUUUAAUUGGGGACGAAAAAAAUGAAGGUACCCAAGGAAUAAGCCCCGGCUAACUACGUUGCAGCAGCCGCGGUAAUACGUAGGGGGCAAACGUUGGUCGGAAUGCCUGGGCGUACAGGUUGUGUAGGCGGUGUAGGAAGUUAGAAGUGAAAUACCUAGGGCUAAACUCAGGUACUGCUUUUAAAACUGCUAUACUUGAGUGUAGUAGAGGAAAGUGGAAUUCCUGGUGUAGGGGUGGAAUGCGUAGAUAUUAGGAGGAACAUCAGUGGCGAAGGCGACUUUCUGGACUGUAACUGACGCUGAGGCACGAAAGUGUGGGGAGCAAACAGGAUUAGAUACCCCAGUAGUC
rnacentral:rRNA from 1 species